GAUCCUGGCUCAGGAUGAACGCUAGCUACAGGCUUAACACAUGCAAGUCGAGGGGCAGCAUGAACUUAGCUUGCUAAGUUUGAUGGCGACCGGCGCACGGGUGAGUAACACGUAUCCAACCUUCCCGUUACUCUGGAAUAGCCUUUCGAAAGAAAGAUUAAUACCGGAUAGUAUCGAGAGAUUGCAUGAUUACCCGAUUAAAGAUUCAUCGGUAACGGAUGGGGAUGCGUUCCAUUAGG
rnacentral:rRNA from 1 species